rnacentral:rRNA from 1 species
CCUACGGGUGGCAGCAGUCGAGAAUCAUUCACAAUGGGGGAAACCCUGAUGGUGCGACGCCGCGUGGGGGAAUGAAGGUCUUCGGAUUGUAAACCUCUGUUAUGUGGGAGCAAAUUAAAAAGAUAGUACCACAAGAGGAAGAGACGGCUAACUCUGUGCCAGAAGCCGCGGUACUACAGAGGUCUCAAGCGUUGUUCGGAAUCACUGGGCGUAAAGCGUGCGUAGGCUGUGUCGUAAGUCGUGUGUGAAAGGCGCGGGCUCAACCCGCGGCCGGCACAUGAUACUGGGAGACUAGAGUAAUGGAGGGGGAACCGGAAUUCUCGGGGUAGCAGUGAAAUGCGUAGAUAUCGAGAGGAACACUCGUGGCGAAGGCGGGUUCCUGGACAUUAACUGACGCUGAGGCACGAAGGCCAGGGGAGCGAAAGGGAUUAGAUACCCGAGUAGUC